rnacentral:rRNA from 1 species
CUCCCAAACCCAUGUGAACUUAUCUCUUUGUUGCCUCGGCGCAAGCUACCCGGGACCUCGCGCCCCGGGGGGCCCGCCGGCGGACAAACCAAACUCUGUUAUCUUCGUUGAUUAUCUGAGUGUCUUAUUUAAUAAGUCAAAACUUUCAACAACGGAUCUCUUGGUUCUGGCAUCGAUGAAGAACGCAGCGAAAUGCGAUAAGUAAUGUGAAUUGCAGAAUUCAGUGAAUCAUCGAAUCUUUGAACGCACAUUGCGCCCAUUAGUAUUCUAGUGGGCAUGCCUGUUCGAGCGUCAUUUCAACCCCUAAGCACAGCUUAUUGUUGGGACUCUACGGCUUCGUAGUUCCCCAAAGACAUUGGCGGAGUGGCAGCAGUCCUCUGAGCGUAGUAAUUCUUUAUCUCGCUUUUGUUAGGCGCUGCCCCCCCGGCCGUAAAACCCCCAAUUUUUUCUGGUUGACCUCGGAUCAGGUAGGAAUACCCGCUGAACUUAAGCAUAUCAAUAAGCCGGAGGAAA